rnacentral:lncRNA from 1 species
AAAUAAUAAUGGCUAAUAAUGGCAAACAAUUAGUAAUUGCUAGGUGCCAGGAGUUGUGCUAAAUGCUUUACAUGAGUAGAUAGGAUAUUGCAGAUCUCAACAGUUAAGAAAUUUGCUUGUGAUCAUGUAGUUUGGAGAGUAUCAGAGUCUGAAAUGAAGACAACUUGAGGGUCAAUAAACAGGAAGAAAAAGUACUCUACAAGACAGUUUAUCUGAUAACGGUAUGAUGGAAGAUGGCAUCAGGCGGAGGGACCACGAAGCUUCAGGCCAGCCCUGUCCCGAAGUCUUCUGUGCUUCAUGUCGAGUGGUCUGCAGUGGACUGUGUCUGCUUGAAGCGAUGCUCCGGAGGGCUUAUUGUUGUGUGGGGUAAAGCAUGAGAUCACUGAAAAAUGAGAGAAAUCGAGCAUACGAAAUGUGAAGCAUAUCUGUUGACACCAUGCGCUCCCUUUGCUUGCACUGGAUGGCGCAUGGUUUCCGUGCGCAGUGCCUGAGGUGUGGGGCAGGCGAGGCCCAUGCAGCCUGGCUCCUUUCCAGAAGGUUGCUGUUCAUUACAGCUCGAGUGUGCUGGGUUCUGCAGAUAUUAUCUAUUUUAAAUUAACGCUCCGUAAAAGGAAUUUAAAGUUUUCUGAAAAGAAACCAAUGAAUGAAGC